UAGGGAAUAUUAGAAAUGGACGAAAGUCUGAUCUAGCAACACCGCGUGUGCGAAGAAGGCCUUCGGGUUGUAAAGCACUUUUUGGAAGGAUUAGGAAGGAAUGUACUUCCAGAAUAAGUCUCGGCUAACUACGUGCCAGCAGCCGCGGUAACACGUAGGAGGCAAACGUUAUCCGGAUUUACUGGGCGUAAAGCGCGUGUAGGUGGUUCUGUAAGUAGGGCGUGAAAGCUCCUGGCUCAACUGGGAGAGGCCGUUCUAAACUGCAGAGCUAGAGGAUGGUAGAGGGAGGUGGAAUUCCGGGUGUAGCGGUGGAAUGCGCAGAUAUCCGGAGGAACACCAGUGGCGAAGGCGCCCAUCUGGACGGUAACUGGCGCUGAGACGCGAAAGCGUGGGGAGCAAACA
rnacentral:rRNA from 1 species